CCCUUAGAUGUUCUGGGCUGCACGCGCGCUACACUGAAGCGUUCAACGAGUAUUCACCUUGCCCGGGAGGGUUGGGUAAUCUUUUGAAAACGCUUCGUGAUGGGGAUAGAUUAUUGCAAUUAUUAAUCUUCAACGAGGAAUUCCUAGUAAGCGCGAGUCAUCAGCUCGUGCUGAUUACGUCCCUGCCCUUUGUACACACCGCCCGUCGCUACGACCGACUGUUUCUGUCAAUGAAGCUGUAGGAUUUGGUCCUGGCCGGGCUUCACGGCCUGGCUGCGGCACUGGAGAUCACAGUUUAGUUGAUACGAAAUACAGGACGUAAAAGUCGUAACA
rnacentral:rRNA from 1 species